rnacentral:tRNA from 5 species
CGAAAUAGCUCAAUUGGUAGAGCAACUGACUUGUAAUCAGUAGGUUACGGGUUCAAUUCCUGUUUUCGGC